GUCAGUUCUGCCCGUUGAAUAUUAUAGUUUGAAAGGCCGCAGUAUCUUGACUGUGCAAAGGUAGCAUAAUCAUUAGUUUUUUAAUUGAAGGCUUGAAUGAAUGAUCGAACAAGAACUCAGCUGUCUUUUCUGAUUAAAAUUGAAUUUUAUUUUUAAGUGAAAAAGCUUAAAUAAAUAAGAAAGACGAUAAGACCCUAUAAAUCUUUAUGAAAUUUAGUUUUUAAAAUUAAAAUUUUAAGUUAAAUAAAUUUUAAAAAUUAUAUCAUUGUGCUGGGGUGGUAAAGAUAUAAAAAAUAAACUGUCAGAAAAUAAAACAAAAAUAUUUGUUUGUAAAAGAUCCUACAUAUGGAUUAAAAGACUAAGUUACUUUAGGGAUAACAGCAUAAUUUCUUUUGAGAGUCCUAAUCGAAAAAGAAGCUUGUGACCUCGAUGUUGAAUUAAGGAAUCCU
rnacentral:rRNA from 1 species